rnacentral:tRNA from 1 species
GCCCGAGAGUCGGCGGCCGGAUCUUGUAAAGCGGGGGUCGUCGGUUCGAACCCGACAGGGGGCUCCA